UACGUAGGGGGCAAGCGUUGUCCGGAUUUACUGGGCGUAAAGCGCGCGCAGGCGGUUGUUUAAGUCUGGUGUAUAACCCAAGGGCUCAACCCUUGGUCGCAUUGGAAACUGGGCAACUGGAGUGUAGGAGAGGUUACUGGAAUUCCCGGUGUAGCGGUGAAAUGCGCAGAGUAUCGGGAAGGAACACCUGCGGCGAAGGCG
rnacentral:rRNA from 1 species